rnacentral:lncRNA from 1 species
GACGUAAUCCGCUUGUAAACAAAUAAACCCCGAGUGGCGGCCAGAGAACUGGGAGCUGUGGCGGGGCAUGGAGGAAACCGGAGGGUGCGCGUGUGAAAGCCCCGCCCACAGCCCUGGCUCCUCCUUCCCCCUUCAGCUACUCGAGGCCCUGCGCCAGGGCAUCCUCUGCAAGUGUGCGCUGCCCGGGCUUGCUAGCGAGGAGUCUAAGUGCUGUGCACAUAAAAGCCGCCCCGCUCAGGCUGUCUACACGCGCGCCGGCUGCUCGGCUCGGGCUGCAGCUCCGGGGCGCUAGCCGCCUUGAGUACUCAGUGUUUACAUCCCGUCCCCGCUCCAGGUCUACGCGGCUUGCUCCACAAGCCGGAGGAGCGUGCGGAGCAGCGGGAUGCGGGUGCCUGUGCUGAAGGUGCGGGGGGCGCGCAGCGAGGGUGCGGAGAAAAGUGGAGGGGACGGGCUCUCGAGGGGCUUUCUGCAGCUUCAGAGAGCCCCGGUCUCCUCGCAGACGUGCAGCCAACGCCACGGAGCUGUUUCUGCUCCAUCCUCGGGGAGAAAUGGGAGGAUGUCUUUGUGAAAGUUUAAUUGCAAAAUAAAUGAAAGGAAAAGCAGCAACUUGCCCUUUUGAAGGAAUUCGAAUUUAAAAUCUCAGAGUAGAUUAGUAUUUACAUGCAUUGAGUGACAUCACAUCAUUCCCUUAAAACUAAACAGAAACAAAGUAACGUUCAAGUUGCAAAAG